AUUGAACGCUGGCGGCAGGCCUAACACAUGCAAGUCGAGCGGAUGAAGGGAGCUUGCUCCUGGAUUCAGCGGCGGACGGGUGAGUAAUGCCUAGGAAUCUGCCUGGUAGUGGGGGAUAACGUCCGGAAACGGGCGCUAAUACCGCAUACGUCCUGAGGGAGAAAGUGGGGGAUCUUCGGACCUCACGCUAUCAGAUGAGCCUAGGUCGGAUUAGCUAGUUGGUGGGGUAAAGGCCUACCAAGGCGACGAUCCGUAACUGGUCUGAGAGGAUGAUCAGUCACACUGGAACUGAGACACGGUCCUGACUCCUACGGGAGGCAGCAGUGGGGAAUAUUGGACGAUGGGCGAAAGACUGAUCCAGCCAUGCCGCGUGUGUGAAGAAGGUCUUCGGAUUGUAAAGCACUUUAAGUUGGGAGGAAGGGCAGUAAGUUAAUACCUUGCUGUUUUGACGUUACCAACAGAAUAAGCACCGGCUAACUUCGUG
rnacentral:rRNA from 1 species